GAUGAACGCUGGCGGCGUGCUUAACACAUGCAAGUCGAACGGACAGGUCCUGCUCUUGCGGGUUGCACGAUUGGCGAACGGGUGAGUAACACGCGAGUAACCUCCCCUUGACUUUGGGAUAACUUCAGGAAACUGGGGCUAUUACCCGAUAGGAGCUCCUGCAGCAUGGUGGGGGUUGGAAAGUUUCGGCGGUUGGGGAUGGACUCGCUGCUUAUCCGCUUGAUGGUGGGGUAGUGGCUUACCAAGGCUUUGAGGGGUAGCCGGCCUGGGCGGGUGACCGGCCACAUUGGGACUGAGGUACGGCCCAGACUCCUACGUGAGGCAGCAGUGGAGAGUAUUGCACAGUGGGCGGAAGCCUGAUGCAGCAGCGCCGCGUGCGGGAUGACGGCCUUCGGGUUGUAAACCACUUUCGCCUGUGACGAAGCGUGAGUGACGGUAAUGGGUAAAGAAGCACCGGCUAACUACGUG
rnacentral:rRNA from 1 species